UGUGUAUCAGUACAUGGCAUAUCAAUAAGCGGAGGAAAAGAAACUAACUAGGAUUCCCUUAGUAAUGACGAGUGAAGCGGGAAGGUCUUACUCGCUCGCGCUAUUUUACCUACGCUUAGGAUGAUCUCUCUCAAUCAUCCUAAGCGUAGGUAAAAUAGCGCGAGCGAGUAAGACCUUCCGCUUCCCUCAGUAACGGCGAGUGGAGCGGGAAGAGCUCAAAUUUGAAAUCUUCAAGGUUCUACCUUGACGAAUUGUAGUUUAAAGAAGUGUUUUCUGUUGGAGUUUUGGUAAAAGUUCUUUGGAAUAGGACAUCAUAGAGGGUGAGAAUCCCGUAUUUGACCAUUAUUUCCAACUUUGUGAUACACUUUCAAAGAGUCGGAUUGUUUGGGGAUGCAGUCCAAAAUGGGUGGUAAAUUUCAUCUAAAGCUAAAUACUGGCGAGAGACCGAUAGCGAACAAGUACCGUGAGGGAAAGAUGAAAAGAACUUUGAAAAGAGAGUUAAACAGUACGUGAAAUUGUCAAAAGGGAAGCGUUUGACACCAGUGUUGUUUUCUCGAAAAUCAAUUAAAAAUGGUGGGAUGUUGUGUUGUAUUGACUUUAUCAGCUUUCUGCACUUUUUUUCCUAUCUUUUUUAAUGCACUUUUCGUUUAACAAGUCAACAUCAAUUUCUUUUGUUGUAAAAGAGUCAUUGGAAGGUGGCUUUCUUUUCGGAGAAAGUGUUUAUAGCCUUUGGCUUCUGCAAUCGGAGAGAUUGAGGUCUGCAGCGUAGAUCCUUCGGGGUUAGAUGCAUUUGUGCUAAGUUAUAGCCUUUCAUAGACAACUUGUUGACUAUGAUCAGUCAUGUAGCUUACUCGCUUAUGUCAUUUUACCUACGCUUAGGAUGUUGACAGCAGUAUAGACUGU
rnacentral:rRNA from 1 species